GUUCGAACGAACUCUGGUAUUGAUUGGUGCUUGCAUCAUGAUUUACAUUUGAGUUGAGUGGCGAACUGGUGAGUAACACGUGGGAAACCUGCCCAGAAGCGGGGGAUAACACCUGGAAACAGAUGCUAAUACCGCAUAACAACUUGGACCGCAUGGUCCGAGUUUGAAAGAUGGCUUCGGCUAUCACUUUUGGAUGGUCCCGCGGCGUAUUAGCUAGAUGGUGGGGUAACGGCUCACCAUGGCAAUGAUACGUAGCCGACCUGAGAGGGUAAUCGGCCACAUUGGGACUGAGACACGGCCCAAACUCCUACGGGAGGCAGCAGUAGGGAAUCUUCCACAAUGGACGAAAGUCUGAUGGAGCAACGCCGCGUGAGUGAAGAAGGGUUUCGGCUCGUAAAACUCUGUUGUUAAAGAAGAACAUAUCUGAGAGUAACUGUUCAGGUAUUGACGGUAUUUAACCAGAAAGCCACGGCUAACUACGUGCCAGCAGCCGCGGUAAUACGUAGGUGGCAAGCGUUGUCCGGAUUUAUUGGGCGUAAAGCGAGCGCAGGCGGUUUUUUAAGUCUGAUGUGAAAGCCUUCGGCUCAACCGAAGAAGUGCAUCGGAAACUGGGAAACUUGAGUGCAGAAGAGGACAGUGGAACUCCAUGUGUAGCGGUGAAAUGCGUAGAUAUAUGGAAGAACACCAGUGGCGAAAGCGGCUGUCUGGUCUGUAACUGACGCUGAGGCUCGAAAGUAUGGGUAGCAACAGGAUUAGAUACCCUGGUAGUCCAUACCGUAACGAUGAAUGCUAAGUGUUGGAGGGUUUCGCCCUUCAGUGCUGCAGCUACGCAUAGCAUCCGCCUGGGGGAGUACGGCCGCAAGGCUGAAACUCAAAGGAAUUGGACCGGGGGU
rnacentral:rRNA from 2 species